AUUGAACGCUGGCGGCAUGCCUUACACAUGCAAGUCGAACGGCAGCGGACCUUCGGGUGCCGGCGAGUGGCGAACGGGUGAGUAAUGCAUCGGAACGUGCCAUUGAGUGGGGGAUAACGUAGCGAAAGUUACGCUAAUACCGCAUAUUCUGUGAGCAGGAAAGCAGGGGGACCGCAAGGCCUUGCGCUCUUUGAGCGGCCGAUGUCGGAUUAGCUAGUUGGUGAGGUAAAGGCUUACCAAGGCGACGAUCUGUAGCGGGUCUGAGAGGAUGAUCCGCCACACUGGAACUGAGACACGGUCCAGACUCCUACGGGAGGCAGCAGUGGGGAAUUUUGGACAAUGGGCGCAAGCCUGAUCCAGCCAUGCCGCGUGCGGGACGAAGGCC
rnacentral:rRNA from 1 species